AAGGAUAAGAUCCUCAUUCCCCUGACAAAAGUUUUAGUUCAAAUAUCAAUAUCAGAAGUUAAUGCACUUUUCCAUAUCCAUAUCAAGGGGCAGAAACACAUCAGAAAAAAAAAAUGAUAGAGUGAGAAUGAUCAACAUGACUGCAGGCUUACAACUUGCCAUCAGUUGUGCCAAAAACAAAAUUGUGAAGUUAAAAUUCACCAAUUGAAGAAACAUAAAAAUACUAGAGGCUUGUGGCAGAUGCUCUGCAUCUAAAAUUUAACUACUGCUUGACCCUAUACUUCAAAUUGCACUAAGGAUGUCAAGUUUUGCUCAGUCUAUGGACCCACAGCGAUGUCCUAUAGUGUACACAUACCUUUUUGUAUGUUGAAAAGCUCAGAUGUCUUUCUACCAUGUUUUAAGCCAUCAGCAGUACUGGCUACUGUAUUCAAGAACCCAUCAUGUGGUUCUGAUUAAUUAGUAAACACACAUGCUUUUGCUAUUUGUUAACAAAGCAUAAAGAAUUUAAGAAAUUCCAGACUUAAAAAAUGUCUCAAUUCAGGAACAACACGUA
rnacentral:misc_RNA from 1 species